rnacentral:rRNA from 1 species
GUUAAACAUAAAGAGCGUAGGGUGGAUGCCUAGGCACUGACAGCCGAAGAAAGACGUGACAAGCUGCGAAAAGCUGCGGGGAGAAGCACAUAUUCAGUGAUCCGCAGAUGUCUGAAUGGGGAAACCCGCUUGGAAGGACUCCAAGCAUCUGUAUGCCAAUACAUAACAUACAGAAGGGAACCCGGUGAACUGAAACAUCUAAGUAGCCGGAGGAAAAGAAAACAACAGUGAUUGCGGGAGUAGUGGCGAGCGAAACCGUAAGAGCCCAAACCGUGGUGCGUGCACUGCGGGGUAGAGGACUGCAAAAGGAGAAAGAUAUAUUACCUGAACCGUUUUGGAAAAGCGGGCCAAAGAGCGUGAGAGCCGUGUAAGGGAAAAUGUAUAAAAUCCGGCAGUAUCCGGAGUACCACGAGACACGAGAAACCUUGUGGGAAGCAGGGGGGACCACCCCCCAAGGCUAAAUACUAGUCAGUGACCGAUAGCGUAUAGUACUGUGAAGGAAAGGUGAAAAGAACCCCGGGAGGGGAGUGAAAAAGAACCUGAAACCCUAUGUUUACAAACUGUGGAACACCGCAAGGUGAACCGCGUACUUUUUGUAGAACGGUCCGGCGAGUUGCAUGUACUGGCAAGGUUAAGCACUAAAGGUGCGAAGCCGAAGAGAGAUCAAGUCUUAAUAGGGCGAAGAAGUCAGUGAAUGCAGACCCGAAACCGGGUGAUCUAUCCAUGUCCAGGUUGAAGUCAACGUAAAAGUUUAUGGAGGACCGAACCCACAUCCGUUGAAAAGGGUGGGGAUGAGGUGUGGAUAGGGGAGAAAUUCCAAUCGAACCCGGAGAUAGCUGGUUCUCCUCGAAAUAGUUUUAGGACUAGCCUCGUUAACAGUCUACCGGAGGUAGAGCACUGAAUUUUUGCGGGGGCGUCAAAGCCUACCAAGAGAUAUCAAACUCCGAAUGCCGGCUAGAUGAUAAACGGGAGUCAGACUACACGAGAUAAGUUGGGUAGUCAAAAGGGAAAGAGCCCAGACCUACGGCUAAGGUCCCAAAGUGUGUGUUAAGUGGAAAAGGAUGUGGGAUUUCAAAGACAGCUAGGAUGUUGGCUUAGAAGCAGCCAUACAUUAAAAGAGUGCGUAACAGCUCACUAGUCGAGAGGUCCUGCGCCGAAAAUGUCCGGGGCUAAACACAACACCGAAGCCUGGGAAUGUAUUUUAUACAUUGGUAGAGGAGCAUUCUUAUAAGCGUAGAAGCCAUACCGGAAGGAGUGGUGGAGUAAUAAGAAGAGAGAAUGCCGGAAUGAGUAGCGAGAAAGAGGUGAGAAUCCUCUUGGCCGAAUAUCUAAGGUUUCCUGAGUAAAGCUGAUCUACUCAGGGUAAGUCGGGGCCUAAGGCAAGGUCGAAAGACGUAGUCGAUGGAUAACAGGUACAGAUUCCUGUACUACAUAUAAUCAGAACUGUGGGGACACGGAGACUAAAAACCGAACCCGGGAGGACAAAAACCGGGGCAAGCGAAGUACCUGUAUGGGAGGCAAAACCACCAUGCAAAGGGAAAACGUGAUGCGUACCGAAAGUUAGUAGGGAAGUCGGUUAGGGAGCCGUCAAGAAAAGCCGCUAUUGUAUUAUAUGUACCCGUACCGCAAACCGACACAGGUAGAUGAGGAGAGAAUCCUAAGGCCGGCGGGAGAAGCAUUGUUAAGGAACUCGGCAAAAUGACCCCGUAACUUCGGGAGAAGGGGUGCCACUUUAAAAGAGUGGUCGCAGAAAAAAGGCUCAAGCAACUGUUUAGCAAAAACACAGGUCUAUGCGAAACCGUAAGGUGAAGUAUAUGGGCUGACGCCUGCCCGGUGCCGGAAGGUUAAGAGGAGAAGUCAGGAAACGAAGCUUUGAAUUGAAGCCCCGGUAAACGGCGGCCGUAACUAUAACGGUCCUAAGGUAGCGAAAUUCCUUGUCGGGU